rnacentral:misc_RNA from 1 species
AAGUCGUAACAAGGUUUCCGUAGGUGAACCUGCGGAAGGAUCAUUAGCGUAAAUGUGUCCCGCAAUGGCCGAAUGCGCAAGCAUUUGGCGGCUGUGGGAAAUACACACAUUCUCAACCAUGUGAACCCGGAAUAGUUCUAGUGCUGGCGGUCAUUGUGCAUCAUCUCGGUGCGCCGUGACCGCCAGCAUCUGACAAACCAUAUUACAACCAACAACCAACAAUCAAAAACGAAACCAAACACACAACUUUUAACAAUGGAUCUCUAGGCUCCU